rnacentral:rRNA from 1 species
UACGGGGGGGGCAAGCGUUGUUCGGAAUUACUGGGCGUAAAGGGCGCGUAGGCGGAUCUUUAAGUCGGGGGUGAAAGCCUGAGGCUCAACCUCAGAAUUGCCUUCGAUACUGGAGAUCUUGAGACCGGAAGAGGUAAGUGGAACUGCGAGUGUAGAGGUGAAAUUCGUAGAUAUUCGCAAGAACACCAGUGGCGAAGGCGGCUUACUGGUCCGGUUCUGACGCUGAGGCGCGAAAGCGUGGGGAGCAAACAGG